rnacentral:lncRNA from 13 species
AUAUUCCUAAGUGCAUGUUGUAAAGAUACGUCCAUAUAUCACCUGGCAACAAAGAACAUUAAGUUCUUUUUCGAUCUUUUUGUUGUUCGUCUACUCAAUGCUAAAUGUCUCUGUAAAUUGCGGAUUUUUUUCCGAAUAAUCUCAGUGACUAUUUUACAUUACCGUUUUGGAAACAAAGCUGUAAAACAAGAUUCUUAAAUUAGAUACAAUUUCUUUUUUGUACAUGAAUUUUUAUAAGAAACUGUGAAAUUCACAAGUAAAUAUGCUAUCCAAGCAUGUGUGAUGAAAGCUGUAUCUCCAUGCAUAUGUGCAGGCACGCACACUUGAGAUCAUUCCACAGGCUGACAUAUGCUUAUGCCUUUUUUCUGCCUUGCUUAAUUAACACAUCUUCUGCUCAUGUGUAUCCAUAAGAAUAUUGUACAAAAGCAUCCUCUGAUCUCUCACUCACAUUCAUUGUUGAUUAGAAAGUGAUACCCGCUUUAUAAUUUCCUUUAUUAACUCAGAAUUGACACAAAUUAGAUUUGUGACAAAUUGUACAUUAGCAAGAAACAGAGGUUUAAAUAUAAUGAAAAAAAAAAAACAAAUUGCAUUCUUUUUUAUUCUUUCUGGGGAGAUUGAAGCCUCUCUUCUACCCCCAAAUCAAACUCACUGCAUCUGUAAAAUGCAGGCCUAUGAAGGUACCUGCUGUCUGAGAGUUCCAUGGGUCAGUGGUGAGUUUAAAGAUUAUUUCUUUUUCUUACUGUCUUUGGAAAAGGAUAAGGAUGCUGCUGGCUUAGCUUCAAGAGGCUCUUCUGUCUCACAAAUGGAGCUUCCUGAUCCAACUGAAGACCGCAGUCAGGGGUCUUGGAGGGCCACACUGCAGAGGCUCUGGGUCAGAUGGUACAAGUUCAGACUGUGGAGCCAAAUACCGAAGUCCAGUUCAUUAUCUGUCUUUAGGAAUAGCACUAAACUAUUGCUGAACAGAGAUGUGGACACUGGAGUGAAAUGGACCGUGAGGUCCUUACUCAUGAAGGAAGAAACUCACUGGUCAGUGUGUUUCUCACAGCUCCUGAUUCAAGCCAUUUAAUCCCAGUUCUCAAAGAGGAAGGCAAGGCUGCUAAGCGAGGGACAGGCUGUGUAGUGUGAUGGGGCCCCUACAGGUUACUUAAACAGGUUUGUCUGCUGCCUGAACCCGGAAGGCCAGGUGGUGAGCCACGGCCAUGGUGCCCAGCUGAAGAGCAGGUGACCCUGAGAAUUCAAAUAUUCUGGAGAGAAUUUGAAAACCUACCAAGAAACACAGUAUCAUUGUUCAAACACAGUCGGCAAAGAGCCAGAAAAUUAACUUAAAAGCCAUUCACGGAAGGAGGCGCAGAUUUCUAGAGCUGUCCUGCCUCCCUCCACUAGUACCCCGUAUGUAAGUUCUAAUAAACUCAGCUACUCACUAUGUUGUGCUGGUCCA